GACGAACGUUGGCGGCGUGCCUAAUACAUGCAAGUAGAACGCACAGUUUAUACCGUAGCUUGCUACACCAUAGACUGUGAGUUGCGAACGGGUGAGUAACGCGUAGGUAACCUGCCUGGUAGCGGGGGAUAACUAUUGGAAACGAUAGCUAAUACCGCAUAAUAUUGAUUAUUGCAUGAUAAUUGAUUGAAAGAUGCUAUUGCAUCACUACCAGAUGGACCUGCGUUGUAUUAGCUAGUAGGUGAGGUAACGGCUCACCUAGGCGACGAUACAUCGCCGACCUGAGAGGGUGGUCGGCCACACUGGGACUGAGACACGGCCCAGACUCCUACGGGAGGCAGCAGUAGGGAAUCUUCGGCAAUGGACGAAAGUCUGACCGAGCAACGCCGCGUGAGUGAAGAAGGGUUUCGGAUCGUAAAGCUCUGUUGUAAGAGAAGAACGGGUGUGAGAGUGGAAAGUUCACACUGUGACGGUAUCUGACCAGAAAGGGACGGCUAACUACGUG
rnacentral:rRNA from 1 species